UCUAAUAUGGCAGAAAAGUGCAAUAGAUUUAAGAUCUAUAUAUAAAGAAAAUCUUUUAUUAGAAAUUAAAUAA
rnacentral:tRNA from 1 species